UGGCCUUUAAUUGGGGCCUAGAAUGAAUGAAUAAAAUGGGUAAUAACUGUCUUAAUUGUAGUAAUUAAAAGUUUCUAAAAAGGUGAAAAUUCCUUUAAAAAAUUUAAUAGACGAGAAGACCCUAGGAGUUUAAAAACUUUUAAUUAUUUUAAAAAUCUAAUUUUGUUGGGGCGACAAUUUAACAAAAAACUUAAAGUUUUAUAAACUUUAUAAAACGAAAUUUUUAAUUUUAAAUAAACUACCCUAGGGAUAACAGCAUAAUUUUUUUAUAAGUUUGUGACCUCGAUGUU
rnacentral:rRNA from 1 species